AGAUUUCAAACUUGGGCUUAAAAAAAAGAAAAUCCAGAACUGCACAAUGAGCACAAUCUGGGACAUUUUGAAGUCUACAGAGUGAGAGAAAAUCCUCAGAACUCAGAAUCUGACAGAGCUAUUGCAGAAGAGUGUUAUAUCCUUUGGUGAGGACUCAGGGGAGAAGCUGUAGAGUCUGUGGAAAGCAUCUUUGUCAGGAGGAGGUGAAAUAGAUUUCUGUGGCGGAAGACUGCUGAAGCUUUAGCAUUAAGCUAAGUGGAAGAGAGACACAAGGAAGAGAUCACUUCUGUAUGGAAAUCAGAUAUUUUUCAUGAUCAGGAACACAUGGGCUCAGAAAUGUGAGGGGGGCAGGGAACCCCAUUCUAAUAAAACCGUGGAUUUAUCAAAGACAUAUUUGAGGUCAAGUAAUAAAAAAAUACUUAUUUAGUGAUUCAAGUGUUUAACCCACUUCUCAGCCAAAGCAGCUCCCAAAGUGACUAACGAUAACAUUGACAAUAAAACAGUGAAAUGUGAUCACAUGAAACAACACCUAGAAAACACACAACAAUAUUGCAAUGAUUGUGUCAGUAUUCCUGAUUAGUUGUUUGUUUGGAAAGGAUUGUUACAAUAUCCAUCUAACAGGAUGAGGCACAGAUAGUAACAUAAAACAGCAACAGAAUCAAACAAUUUUAUUUAUUGUUGACUAACCAUUAACACAU